rfam:Synechococcus sp. WH 8102 complete genome.
GGGUGAAUUGAAGUCUAGAUACUGUAGGGGCCGAUUCCGUUUCGGGGUCGGUCCUGUC